rnacentral:rRNA from 1 species
UACGUAGGGGGCGAGCGUUGUCCGGAUUUAUUGGGCGUAAAGAGCGUGUAGGCGGCUUGGUAGGUCUGCUGUGAAAACUCGGGGGCUCAACCCCGAGACGUCGGUGGAAACCACCUGGCUAGAGUCCGGAAGAGGAGAGUGGAAUUCCUGGUGUAGCGGUGAAAUGCGCAGAUAUCAGGAGGAACACCAAUGGCGAAGGCAGCACUCUGGGACGUGACUGACGCUGAGACGCGAAAAGCGUGGGGAGCAAACAGG